UCCCCAGCUGGUGUCUAAAUCCCUUAGCACAGCACCCAACUCUGGGCAGCCGUGCCAGCCUCGCUUUCCACCCUGCUCUCUUCUGUUCCUUUCUUCAACAAAUGAUCAUUAAGUGUCUGUCCUUGAGUGCUGUCAUCAGGUGCCAAUAACAGGGUAACAGGAUGGUAGACACGGAAGACGCGGAAGCAAACGAGAGCAGCUCUUUCACGCCGUCCCACCACGCCAAGCAGCUUGCGGAUCCUGGCUGUAAGACUGUGUUCAACCUCUUUGCUUUUUCCCGGGAUGCAGGGAAGGCGCUUACAUUCACUGAUCUCCUGGACAAUCACCACUUACCCUUCAUGGCUCAGUCAAAGUGCCACCUUCCCUAUGUGGCACUUCCUGAUCAUCCUUCUUCACCCGCAAACAUGGAUCCCGGCCUCCUUUCUAUCCCAAAGGUGUGUCUUUCUUCUCUCAGAGGAUCUACUAUACUUCGAUGCAUCUACUUGGCUAUGAGAUGGUCUCUCCCACUUCGCAGUGAAUUCUUUGCUCAAAGAGACCUUUUAUUUCUCUCUACAUCCCCACGGGGACCUGGUACAUAGACAUUAUGCAUCCAUCCAUCCACCCACCUAUCCAGCCAUCCAACAAAUGUUUCUGAUUGUCCUCACUGCGACAGCCAUUUCUCCAGGCUCUGUGGAUAUGGAGAAGAACAAGAAAGAUGUGGCUUCUACAUCCUAGUUGGGGGGAGGAAUAGACAGUGGAACUAAACAAUAAUCAAGAUAGGCGAGUGAGAAGUUCUGCAAAAUAAAUCAACAGAGCGAUGUCCCAGAGGGCACUACUUUAGAAGGAAUGAUCACAUCCUACAGGAAGGUGGCAUUUGUGAUGAGUCCCAGAACAUAAGAAAGGACACAGCCAAGAACAUGGGGACAAAGAGACCUGACGAAUGAUGCCCCUCCCCGCAGGCUGCUCCCACCCUUGUGCCUCAUCUCGCUGAAGGGAGAGGACGGAACCAAGGGAAGCAACGUGGAGUGGGGUGUUUGUUGUUCAUGGGCUGGACCCCAAAACUGAAACCGUGAAUCCAGUGAUGGUGUUCACGCCUCAGCAAACGUGCCAUCUCGCUGGAAAGCUGCAGAGGCCCCGACUGCAUUCGCCACGCACAGCCGGGUCAGCAGAACGCCGCUCCGCCUUGGAGGCCAGCUCAGCUCCGCCGGCCGGAGAAAGACGAUACAGACUGUGGUUUCUCAGUUCCUGGGGCUUAGGGAGCUCCAAGUUCCCUCUCUCCCUGCGCUUCCUGCGCUGUUGUUAAUUUUAGAGAAGACCUUGCCCUCUCCUCAUAUUGCCAUUGAGUUCCCCGUGGCCUCAGUUUAUCCGUCUGUGAAAUAGAAAACCUACGGUUAACUCCUUUACCUAUGGCACGAGAGGUGGGUGUGGCCCUUGUGGGCCUCGCUGCAGCCUCUCCUCGCCCCCAGUCACCCCCUCUUCCUCUCCUGCCUCUGCCAUUCUUCCUCCCCCUCCAGCCCUCUCUCGGGGAGGUCCCUGCCCUCUCUCGCCACUCUGCCCCUGCAGCGGGAGAUAAAGAGUGUGCGACUUUCUGGUUGAGAAGGUUUGCUUUGCAGAAACACAGCCGACUUGUGGUCCUGCCCUUCCCACCUGGGGACAAUGUUUAUUUACAUUUAGGAACACGAGGAGACUCAGCUGUGAGUUUCCGAGGCCGGGAAGAUUAUGCGAUACGUAACAGUGCGGCCCUCGGCUAGCGCUGAGCUGGUGCUGGGCUCCCGCGGCCGCCGGGCUCCGGGUAGAGGGCUCAGGGAGGCGAGUGUCGGAAAGGAGAGGUCUACAGCCCCUCUGAGUCCGGGGAUUAAUUUGCUGACAUAUUCAUAAGCCAAAAACAGAGACAGAGGGAUAGAGACAGGCAGAGCAAGACAGAGAGAAAGACAGACAGAGGUAGAGAGAGACAGAGAC